CCUACGGGUGGCAGCAGUGGGGAAUAUUGGGCAAUGGGCGCAAGCCUGACCCAGCAACGCCGCGUGAAGGAAGAAGGCUUUCGGGUUGUAAACUUCUUUUCUCAGGGACGAAGAAAGUGACGGUACCUGAUGUAUAAGCCACUGCUAACUACGGGCCAGCAGCCGCGGGAAUACGUAGGUGGCAAGCGUUAUCCGGAUUUACUGGGUGUAAAGGGCGUGUAGGCGGGAGCGCAAAUCAGAUGUGAAAACUCAGGGCUCAACCCUGAGCCUGCAUUUGAAACUGUGUUUCUUGAGUGCUGGAGAGGGAGUCGGAAUGCCGUGUGUAGCGGUGAAAUGCGUAGAUAUACGGAGGAACACCAGUGGCGAAGGCGGAUUGCUGGACAGCAACUGACGCUGAGGCGCGAAAGCGUGGGGAGCAAACAGGAUUAGAUACCCUGGUAGUC
rnacentral:rRNA from 1 species